rnacentral:rRNA from 1 species
CAGCCGCCGCGGUAAUACCGGCGGCCCGAGUGGCGGUCACUAUUAUUGGGCUUAAAGCGUCCGUAGCCGGGUUGGGAAGUCCUCCGGGAAAUCUGGCCGCUUAACGGUCAGAAUGCCGGAGGAUACUCCCAGCCUAGGGAGCGGGAGAGGCCGAGGGGAUUCCCGGAGUAGGGGGGAAAUCCUAUAAUCCCGGGAGGACCACCUGUGGCGAAGGCGCCCGGCUGGAACGCGUCCGACGGUGAGGGACGAAGGCCAGGGGAGCAAACCGGAUUAGAUACCCGGGUAGUCCCGGCUGUAAACGAUGCGGGCUAGCUGUUGGGUGGGCUUAGAGCCCACCCAGUGGCGCAGGGAAGCCGUUAAGCCCGCCGCCUGGGGAGUACGGCCGCAAGGCUGAAACUUAAAGGAGUUGGCGGG